AGCAAGGAAAGGCAUUUAGUUAGAUCUACACACACAGACAUCCAAACAAAAUUUAAGAUGAGUGAACAGAAACUCUUCUAGGAUAUACCUGUAGUGCUCCAGGUUUGAUGACUGUCAAAGGAUAGUGGCUUGAAGCAGCUAAAAUGAUCUUAUUGAGAGGGGUGUUUUUUUAAAGGAAAAAGAGACUGAAGAAAAGGCAUGAAUUCGGCAUGCAUCCUUCUUUCAGAAAAUACAAACUAACUGAAAGGUGCAAGAAUGAAAAACAGCAAUGAAAAUUUGAAAACUUAACACUGGACUCUGGAAGAUUUUGCCACACUAACGCAUACCCUUAGAUGCUACAAGUACAGAGUAACAAUAAACUGAAAGGUUCAAGAAUGAAAAACAGCAAUGAAACUUUGAAAACUUAACACUGGACUCUGGAAGAAUUUUGCCACACUAACGCAUACCCUUAGAUGCUACAAGUACAGAGUGACAAUAAACUGAAAGGUUCAAGAAUGAAAAACAGCAAUGAAACUUUGAAAACUUAACACUGGACUCUGGAAGAAUUUUGCCACACUAACGCAUACCCUUAGAUGCUACAAGUACAGAGUGACAAUAAGUGAUCCCCAAGUCCUGUUAUCCACAGCAAAUCUUCAACACCCAUUAGAAGCUUUAAUUGAUCAUGAUGUUACACAUGUAUUAGGAGGGAAAACAGAUGUAGGCAUCCAAACUGUACUGACUGAAGCUAAUGGCAAGUUCUGCCCAUGAAAACAGGAUUAUGGGACUGAAUUAAUACAUCCAGUGAUACAACAAGAAUCGUAUGGCAUAUGGAUGCUAUUGGGAUCCUGGCCCAUGAAAGCCUAGCACUUGGAACUAGCUGCACAAUUACAGAGAUGGGACGUGUGACUAUCUGUACUGUAUGUUAUAUACUAUACUACAGCAGUUUCAGAGUCUCCGAUAGUUCUGGAUCAGAUAUCAUAAAAAAAAAAUCUUUAUGACUAAUCUAACCACAGCACAGAACCUGCCUGUGUGUAACUUGUGACUGCAACACCCUACUUCCUGUACUGCAGUAUGUCCCGAGACUGAUUCAGAUACAAAAAGUGCAGUCUUGUAAUGUUGCAUUUAUAUAUCAGUGAAGAGCAAACAUCUUUUGCCACCAGAAUGUGAGGGAAGGGAGCAGCCCACAGAAUAAAAACUGUGACACUAAAAUGUUUCUAAUGUCUAAUAUUUUAAUGGCACUAGCCAGCAUGGAAAUAUUGCAAUUAUUUCUCAUAGCUUCUCAUAGAUUCUGGUAGCAAUGCUCAAGUCUGAAGGCUGUUGAGAGCAUUGAUUCAUUAAAAGUGAUGUCAUAUACGUCAUUUCCCAUUCAGGUAUUAAGUUUGAUCUUAAAAGUGAAAAUAGUACUGAUAGUCUAAUAUUGAUAGGUAGGUUAUUCCCAAUCCUGGAAACCACAAUUGUUAAGUAUUUGCUCUGCAUGCUCUUAAGACAAUAUUGUAUAUUGAAGUUAUUGUUAUUAUGUCUGUGUUUUCAUAGUUAAUAGAUAAGGAAAUGUUGAAAAUAGAUUGUAGGAACUCAUUACAAAUGUUAUAUGCAACUAUUGCUUUAUAUUUCAUGUGAUGGUAGUAGAUAGAAAGCAAUUUCAGCUCUUUGUACUAGUCGCUAUAACUUAGAUUUCUCACAGAUGGAAAUUUGGUAGUAUAAUUCACACUGUACGUAUUCCAUAUUCUUUAUGUUUGCCCAAUAGUACAAGUAGAAACUAUUUAAAAACUUUAUUCAUUUAAGUAGGUAGAUGGACGAGUGUCCUAUUAGAACAAGAGCAUUCAUCCAUCUACCUACAACUACUUGAAACUUCAAAAAAGGCAUCUUUAUUCCUUCCAAAGGGAGGGUAUCAGAGAGAUAGUCUCCUAGAUCUGCUAGUUAAAGUGAUUUUACCUGGAAUAAUCCAUAUGCACUAUAAUGCAUACUUUCCCAAAUUCUAAACUAUCUCCUAAAGAAUCUCCUGGCUAACACACAACACUGAUUUCAACCCAAUCCUAGCACCCCCACAGCCUUUAUUAGCUUUUCCUACACUGUAAAUCAACAACAGAACAACGGUAACCUGGUCUUCACUAUCUUUCUUGAUCUCUCCAAGGCAUUUGACACAGUCUCCCAUGCCAAACUCCUAACUGUAUUCUCAAAACUCAACCUAAGUAACUCCACACUAUUAUGGUUUAAAAACUAUAUAACUGUCAACAAGCCAUAAAAUGGCAAAACUCUGUAUCUCCUCUUCUCCCUGUUACCUAAGGUGUCCCACAAGGAUCCAUCCUCAGACCAUUCCUCUUCACCAUACUUACAAAUAACCUUAACAAAGCCACCCUCCAUGCCAGUCUGCUCUGGUAUGCCAACAACUCCAUACUAAUUUGCUCUGCCCCCUCUCUCCAACUUCUG